UCACUAAUCUAUGUGCUACAAUAAGACUAUCUUAUUUUUGGGCAACUAUGGAGAUUAGAGCCGCUUCCGAGGGAAAAGAAAGAGAUGUGGAGAAGAGAGAUGGAGUGGAUACUUAGUGUUAGUGAUCACAUCGUUGAGUUAACACCUUCUACACAAACUUACCAAGACGGCAAAAAGUUUGAGGUGUGGCCUUGCAAAGUGAUUGCUCCCAAAUACAAAGAGCUAUCUGAGAAGUACCAGGAUAUGGUGUUUCUUAAGCUUGACUGCAACCAAGACAACAAGAGAUAUGUUCGUGUUCGUGGAGCGGAGGACAACAUAGUUGGUUUCCGCGUGCUGUACGAGACACAGAGAUAACUUCUAGAUAGAGAGAGAGAAACAGAGAUGGAGACAAAAACCCUUUAAAGGAUUUGAACGGAGAAGACGAGGCAUAACACAACACAACAACUCUGUAAGUAAGUUCUGAUCAGACCCCAAUAUUUCAGUUUCUUGAUGUUUUGUCUGAAAAGUUUCAAGAUUUGAUUUUGAGGUGUUGGAGUGUCUCUCUUUUUUUUCUUCUUCGAAUUCGUCUGAACAGAUCUCUCUGUUUCCCUUGGAAUUAUCGAUCUCUCAAUCACUCAUGCUGUAAAGUAUAAGGAUCAUCCUCUAUCUUAAUUCUGCUCUUGGAGAGCAAGAUACAAGAGACAAAAGCAAAGAAAUAUACGCUCCUUGCAUGUGCUCGAACUGCCAAGUUUGUAUCGGUUCCUUAUUAUCCUUAAUGGGAAGCUUGUUCCUUGUUCCACAAACAACAGUCACUGUUUGAAAAAAAAAACAAAAAGCACUUCCAAACCAA